rnacentral:rRNA from 1 species
GUGGGGAAUAUUGGACAAUGGGCGAAAGCCUGAUCCAGCCAUGCCGCGUGUGUGAAGAAGGUCUUCGGAUUGUAAAGCACUUUAAGUUGGGAGGAAGGGUAGUAACCUAAUACGUUGCUACUUUGACGUUACCGACAGAAUAAGCACCGGCUAACUUCGUGCCAGCAGCCGCGGUAAUACGAAGGGUGCAAGCGUUAAUCGGAAUUACUGGGCGUAAAGCGCGCGUAGGUGGUUCAGUAAGUUGGAAGUGAAAUCCCCGGGCUCAAACUGGGAACUGCUUUCAAAACUGCUGAGCUAGAGUACGGUAGAGGGUGGUGGAAUUUCCUGUGUAGCGGUGAAAUGCGUAGAUAUAGGAAGGAACACCAGUGGCGAAGGCGACCACCUGGACUGAUACUGACACUGAGGUGCGAAAGCGUGGGGAGCAAACAGGAUUAGAAACCCCAGUAGUCC